rnacentral:rRNA from 2 species
CUGACCUCGGAUCAGGUAGGA